UGAGGAAGUGUGUAGAUGAAGAUUUGAAUUUGCAGAGAACAGAGUGUAAGAGUGUUGGUUAGAAAGUGAAAGUAGAGAGUAAGUGUAAAAUUGAAUAAUAAAAUCUGAUCUGAAAAACUCUUCAGAUUUUGUUGAACUGAGUACGCAUGGGCUUUUUGUUCAAUUAGACACCUGUCAAAAUGUAACUGGUAGAUGAAUGUUAGUGGGAUAG
rnacentral:lncRNA from 1 species